rnacentral:rRNA from 1 species
GAUGAACGCUGGCGGCGUGCCUAAUACAUGCAAGUCGAGCGAACAGACGAGGAGCUUGCUCCUCUGACGUUAGCGGCGGACGGGUGAGUAACACGUGGAUAACCUACCUAUAAGACUGGGAUAACUUCGGGAAACCGGAGCUAAUACCGGAUAAUAUAUUGAACCGCAUGGUUCAAUAGUGAAAGACGGUUUUGCUGUCACUUAUAGAUGGAUCCGCGCCGCAUUAGCUAGUUGGUAAGGUAACGGCUUACCAAGGCAACGAUGCGUAGCCGACCUGAGAGGGUGAUCGGCCACACUGGAAAUGAGACACGGUCCAGACUCCUACGGGAGGCAGCAGUAGGGAAUCUUCCGCAAUGGGCGAAAGCCUGACGGAGCAACGCCGCGUGAGUGAUGAAGGUCUUCGGAUCGUAAAACUCUGUUAUUAGGGAAGAACAAAUGUGUAAGUAACUAUGCACGUCUUGACGGUACCGAAUCAGAAAGCCACGGCUAACUACGU